rnacentral:rRNA from 1 species
UGGCCCUACGGGGGGCAGCAGUGGGGAAUAUUGCGCAAUGGGCGAAAGCCUGACGCAGCGACGCCGCGUGAGGGAUGAAGGUCUUCGGAUCGUAAACCUCUGUCAGCAGGGAAGAACGGUCACUGUGCUAAUCAGCAGUGAAUUGACGGUACCUGACCAAGAAGCCCCGGCUAACUACGUGCCAGCAGCCGCGGUAAUACGUAGGGGGCAAGCGUUAUCCGGAAUUACUGGGUGUAAAGGGAGCGUAGACGGUGAUGCAAGUCUGGAGUGAAAGGCGGGGGCCCAACCCCCGGAGUGCUCUGGAA